ACUAUGCAUUUUGUAUGUGUUCUUCAAUUGUUUUCUUUGGUUAGUUUUCUUAUGAAACAUGUUAUGUAUAUAGAUGUCUGCAGACAUAUAUGCCUCUGAAUGAUAGCAUUUUUUGCAUUCUUGAAUUGGAUGAUGGAUGUGAAAGGGUGCUCACUGAUUUGUUGAUUUUUUUUGGGUUACCUGUGGUCAAUUGGAGAAGGAAACAAAUCUUAUCGAGGGAGUUUCAUGGUUAGAUUGUGGCCACCGUGAAAUGUAGGUUUGGUAUCCAUCUCUGAGUGUUGACCCUUUAAAGUAGGGUGAUUUCUUGUAGGUGGAGAAUCAGGAAGGAGUCGCAAACUUUGAUGAUAUCCUUGUAAAUUCAGAUGCAUUCAUGGUGGCACGAGGUGAUCUUUGAAUGGAAAUUCCAAUAGAAGAUAUUUUUUGGCUCAGAAAGUGAUGAUCUAUAAGUGCAACAUCCAAGGAAAACCUGUUGUCACGACAAGACAGAUGCUGGAACUAGCAGUUGUUGAAUAUGUUGAUGAAUUGUACAAGUUCUACAAACUUGAAGAGGAUGACUACCGAGUUGGAGAUUACUUGGACAUUGAUCAAGUUUGGGUUGAAUGGGCAAGCAUGCUGUCAAGUUUCAGAUCACUAGUGUUGUAUGUCUGUGGUAGAUCAGUAGUUAGGAAUCAUUUUGUGCAUAUAGCUAGAACUCACUUUGGUGGCUGUAA